AAGAAACAUAUUCCAUUACAUUCACAACAGCCUUAUUUACAAUAGCCAGGAGCUGGAGAGAACCCAGAUGUCCGUUCAUCUAAAGAGUUCACAUGGAAAGACCCCUGGCUUCAACUGCAUAUGUAGCAGAGGAUGGCCUUGUUGGGCACCAAUAAGAGGAGAAGCCCGUGGUCCUGCCAAGGCUCUAGCCCCAGUGGAACGGAAUGCUAAGGCGGGGAAUCCGGAAGGAGUGGGCAAACGGGUGGGGGUGAACCCUCAUAUAAGAGGAGGAGGGACGAUGAGCAAGGGGGUUCAUGCGUAUGCAGACCAGACUCCAUAAAUUGUCAUGUCUGCAAACGUCAUCUGCUGUUCGUGACGUCACUUUAUCUCUGAAAAAAACUGAACUUCACUAAGGAUCACCUUGGACAUGGAUACAUCUACUGUCAUGGUAUUGGCCUGCUGCCUGCCCGAUGGCAAAGAAGGACAAAUGAGUCACCUCCAGGACACUGCAGUCACAGAGACAUGGAUUCUCCUUGAUCAAGGUUCCAAUCUCCUGGAUUGCAUCAUCUGGUAAGUGCGUGAGAAGUAUUUGUUCUUUUCACACAUAAAAUCCUGUUCACCAAAAUCAGUGAGUGCACAGUGCACCCUUCAGGUGCAGACCUGACCUAUUAGACUGAGAAUAAAUUUUAACAAACAUCCAUGCUCAGUGGAAUCCAAACAUCACAUCUGUCUUCCCAAGUGGAGGAUAUUUAUACUCAUUAAAUUGCAGAUAUUACUAAAAUACCUAAAUACUGAAGGGAAACCCAGGGUGGCUGGUGCCAUUGUGCCGUCCUUAGGUGAUGCUCCCACAGGUCCUCUGAAUGCACGAAAGGGAAAGUACUGACCUCUACCUUCAUCCACUCAGCAAUUCCUUGUUUGAAUCCUAUUGACUUCUUAGUAUUACUUCUCAGAUUCCAUGUUGUUUUUUCUUCUCUUUUACUAGGGACUUGGUAUUAUGUCUGUAAGUCACUCACUACAGUAAUCUAUCACCCCAAUCUCUUAGAAUCUCUACGUUUAUUUGCUAUAGAGAUAAUGAAGUCUUGAG
rnacentral:sRNA from 1 species